UACUAAUAACAUAAUAGUUCACCCUCUCUAUGUCAGAGAUUAUCAGAGUUUUUUAGAAAUAAAUAACGUAAUAAUAAUAUUCAUAUAUUUAAUUCUCGUAAGCUAAUCAAAGUUAAGACUGCUAUUGCAUCUUAUUCGAUAGUAAAAAAUUAUUAAUUUGUUUUUCUCAUAACCAUCAAAUUACAUACAAGGCCACACGGAAUACUCUCUGAUAACUUUUGAUCUGAUGACCUUUAAAACUAAAUAAAUAAUACAUAAUUCUGCAUUUGAAUAAUCAGCAAUAAUUAUAUCAUUCGGCUUUUGAAAAUAUUAUUAGUUUCCGCUACUGAUAAAAAAAAGUCGUCUUUAAACUUAAAUCUCUUCGAAAUUGAUAAAUAAACGUUGAUCUAGACUAAAAUCGAUUAUGUCAAAAAUAAUUGCACUGCUACUAAUUAUCACAUUCAUUGGCGUGUUUGUUAGUUUUGUUAAAGGGUGCAAAGGCAGUUGGUGCCAUCCGAGUCAAGGUUAUGGAUGCUGUCCAGGUCAUGAAUGUACCUCGUAUAUGCUUCAAGGAACAUGCUGGACUGAGGCGGAGGCAAUAAAUCAUGAACACGCAAGUCUCAUCAUUCAACUCGGAAAAAAAUAGAAAUUCAACAUGAUACAGUUAAAUAAUUCUUUUAUCGCAUUUUUUUUUGGUAUAAUUUGUUCAAUUUUAAACAAUUUUUGUAUUAAAAAUCUGGGAAUCGGUUGGCCCUGCGGGCCAGCCCCAAAAUUUUGCAUUGUUUACUAGCUCAAGGAGCUCAAAAACAUUAGUAUAAAUAUAUUUUGGUACUCUUAAUUCUUAUUUAUGUGGUUUUUUAGGAUCACCAACGAUGUAAAUAUAGUACAUUGCAUAGCGAGUGGGUUAGGUGAGUCCUUAUACGGGAAGCACAAUGUUUUUAACGCGAGUCGUAGGUGCACACGCACGAGCACCAGCGAGUGCUUAGUGUGCACCGGAGACGAGUGCUGAGAACAUUGUAUAUGACGGAUAGAAUCUUAACCGACGUGCUAUGCACUAUACUUUAUUCAACAACUGUCUGAUUUUUGCGAAUUAUUAUAUCAGCAAAGUAAACACUAAAUAAUAUGGAGUUCUAUAUGAUACUAGUUUUUGACUUCUGUCAAUACUCAUUUCUUAUUAAUUUUAAUUAAUGAAAAAUAGCCAACGUAUUUAUACGUAGAAACUGACAUCGAAGUUAGUAGAUUGAUUGUACUUCUAAUUGUGAAUAUAUUUAGUGUCGAGAUUAUUUGCUUUAGUGAUAAUAGUAGAGUUUGUUAUUGAAAACGGUCGAAAAUUACUUUUGAGGAAUGUGUUUAUGGUUUCAAAUGUGGUUGUUUAUUUACUUUUUGACGAAUUAUUAACUACCAAUCGGUAAACGGUCAUUCAGGGUUCAUUUUGCAAAUAUGAUAAAUCGCGACAAUCAGGCAUGCGUUGAAUAUAAUAAAUUACUCCAUACUUAUGUAAUAAUAAAACUAAUAAUUAUAAGUAUCAUUUUCUAUUUUCAUUGUUUGAAAAUAAUUGAGUUAAAUAAAAAAACUUACUUAAAUCUGAA